rnacentral:rRNA from 1 species
AUUGAACGCUGGCGGAAUGCUUUACACAUGCAAGUCGAGCGGCAGCGCGGGGCAACCUGGCGGCGAGCGGCGAACGGGUGAGUAACAUAUCGGAACGUACCCAGUAAUGGGGGAUAACUACCCGAAAGGGUAGCUAAUACCGCAUACGCCCUGAGGGGGAAAGCGGGGGAUCGCAAGACCUCGCGUUAUUGGAGCGGCCGAUAUCGGAUUAGCUAGUUGGUAGGGUAAAGGCCUACCAAGGCGACGAUCCGUAGCUGGUCUGAGAAGACGACCAGCCACACUGGAACUGAGACACGGUCCAGACUCCUACGGGAGGCAGCAGUGGGGAAUUUUGGACAAUGGGGGCAACCCUGAUCCAGCCAUUCCGCGUGAGUGAAGAAGGCCUUCGGGUUGUAAAGCUCUUUCGGCAGGAACGAAACGGUGGGCUCUAACAUAGCCUGCUAAUGACGGUACCUGAAGAAGAAGCACCGGCUAACUACGUGCCAGCAGCCGCGGUAAAAC